GAAAUUUUUUGAUUUUUGAGGUGAACAAGGCCCUUGUAUGGCGAGGGUGUUCGCAGAUGUCCCUUUCCUUUGUUGUCUCCUUAGUACGUUCUUCAAUCUUCGACAAGCAAUGCACGAACAAAUGAAGAUAAGAUAACUAAUUUGGUCUUUUGAUGCACUCUUGUUUUUUAAGGUCUUUUUGUGUUAAGUCGUUCUUUUGUAUAAGCUAUUGUUUUCUUGAUAUAUAUUAGAUAUGACACACUUAAUAUCUUGAUUGUCUUUCUCAAAAAAGAAAAAAAAAUCUUCUCUUCCUCGCCAGACCUAGCAAAGCAGUCUUGCUAGAGAUCUGCGUCUGCCCCGCGUGCAAUGUGCAUCGCAUUAACUAUCAAUUUUCUGGUGUCCGUGCUUGCGCUGC
rnacentral:lncRNA from 1 species